rnacentral:rRNA from 1 species
GUGUCAGCCGCCGCGGUAAUACGGAGGAUGCAAGCGUUAUCCGGAAUGAUUGGGCGUAAAGGGUCCGCAGGUGGCAUUGUAAGUCUGCUGUUAAAGAGUUUGGCUCAACCAAAUAAGAGCAGUGGAAACUACAAAGCUAGAGUGUGGUCGGGGCAGAGGGAAUUCCUGGUGUAGCGGUGAAAUGCGUAGAUAUCAGGAAGAACACCAGUGGCGAAGGCGCUCUGCUAGGCCGAGACUGACACCGAGGGACGAAAGCUAGGGGAGCAAAUGGGAUUAGAUACCCCAGUAGUCCUAGCCGUAAACGAUGGAUACUAGGCGUAGCUCGUAUCGACCCGAGCUUUGCCGGAGCUAACGCGUUAAGUAUCCCGCCUGGGGAGUACGCAGGCAACUGUGAAACUUAAAUGAAUUGACGGGG